CGCUUUCGCUUGUUCCGCUGAUGGACGGACUGCCACUGAAAUUUAAAUGGCCGCAGUAUAUUAACUGUGCAAAGGUAGCAUAAUCAUUAGUCUUUUAAUUGAAGGCUGGUAUGAAUGGUUGGACGAGAUAUUAACUGUUUCAAAUAAAUUUAUUAUAGAAUUUUAUUUUUUAGUCAAAAAGCUAAAAUUUAUUUAAAAGACGAGAAGACCCUAUAAAUCUUUAUAUUUUACUUUGUUUUAUUUAUAAAGAAUAUUUUAAUUAAAUCUAAGUAAAAUAUUUUAUUGGGGUGAUAUUAAAAUUUAAUAAACUUUUAAUUUAUUAAUUCAUUAAUUUAUGAAUAAAUGAUCCAAUUUUAUUGAUUAAAAAUUUAAGUUACUUUAGGGAUAACAGCGUAAUUUUUUUGGAGAGUUCUUAUCGAUAAAAAAGAUUGCGACCUCGAUGUUGGAUUAAGAGAUACUUUUAGGUGUAGCCGCUUAAACAUUAAGUCUGUUCGACUUUUAAAUUCUUACGUGAUCUGAGUUCAGACCGG
rnacentral:rRNA from 1 species